CCAGUCGUUGACCUAUGACCGCAUCCAGUGGGCUGGUUGUCCUGGCAACAAAGCAGUUCCAUUUUUCUCCUUCAGAUUGCAAAGAAGGUGUUGUCAUCACAGCUGUCACGGUGCUGCUUAGAGAAGGAUAAAUAUUCCAAACAAACGGAUCAAGAAAGAUUAAACUUUUUUGGUCAGCCA